rnacentral:rRNA from 1 species
CUACGGGGGGCUGCAGUGAGGAAUAUUGCACAAUGGGGGGAACCCUGAUGCGGCAACGCCGCGUGGAGGAUGACGCAUGUCGGUGUGUAAACUCCUUUUAUAUGUCAAGAAAAUGACGGUAGCAUAUGAAUAAGCACCGGCUAACUCCGUGCCAGCAGCCGCGGUAAUACGGAGGGUGCAAGCGUUACUCGGAAUCACUGGGCGUAAAGGACGCGUAGGCGGGUUGGAAAGUCAGGUGUGAAAUCCUACAGCUUAACUGUAGAACUGCACUUGAAACUUCUAAUCUAGAGUAUGGGAGGGGGAGAUGGAAUUAGUGGUGUAGGGGUAAAAUCCGUAGAUAUCACUAGGAAUACCUAAAGCGAAGGCGAUCUCCUGGAACAUUACUGACGCUAAGGCGUGAAAGCGUGGGGAGCAAACAGGAUUAGAUACCCCGGUAGUC